UGGGGGAUAUUGCACAAUGGGCGAAAGCCUGAUGCAGCGACGCCGCGUGGGGGAUGAAGGCCUUCGGGUUGUAAACUUCUUUUGCUCUGAACAAGGCGCACCAUGGGGUGUGUUGAGUGUAGGGGUUGAUUAGCGCCGGCUAACUAGGUGCCAGCAGCCGCGGUAAUACGUAGGGCGCGAGCGUUGUCCGGAAUUAUUGGGCGUAAAGGGCUGGUAGGUGUCUGGUUGCGUCUGUCGUGACAGCUAAUGGCUUAACUGUGGGUUUGCGGUGGGUACGGGCUGGCUUGAGUGCAGUAGGGGAGGCUGGAAUUCCUGGUGUAGCGGUGGAAUGCGCAGAUAUCAGGAGGAAUACCGGUGGCGAAGGCGGGGCUCUGGGCUGUUACUGACACUGAGGAGCGAAAGCAUGGGGAGCGAACAGG
rnacentral:rRNA from 1 species